rnacentral:rRNA from 1 species
GACGGAGGAUGCAAGUGUUAUCCGGAAUUACUGGGCGUAAAGCGUCUGCAGGUGGUUUCUUAAGUCCACUGUUAAACCUUGAGGCUCAACCUCAAUUCAGCAUUGGAAGCUGGGAAACUUGAGUAUAGUAGGGGUAGAGGGAAUUUCCAGUGGAGCGGUGAAAUGCGUAGAUAUUGGAAAGAACACCGAUGGCGAAGGCACUCUACUGGGCUAUUACUGACACUCAGAGACGAAAGCUAGGGGAGCAAAUGGG